GCUGUGGUAGCUCAGUGGUCAAGACGUUGGACUACUGAUCAAAAGGUCAUGAGUUCAAACCCCAGCAGCACCA